UUUGUUUUUUCUUUUCAUUCACUCAUUAGUAGUAAAAUUUUGAUACCUGAUCGAAGGAAUCGCUCUCUCGCAUGACACGAUCAGAGAUUUUGUUAAUUUCGAAAGUUGGAUAUUUUACUGCUCGAAAAAGUCAAAGAAACAGGGGUUGGAAGAAUAAAGCAGAAGAGGGGUUAUAAAUAUCGAUGGAUGUACACGGAUGAAAAUGGAAAAAAUACUGCUGAUGCGUGCCUUAUUGCUUACAAAGAUCCUUAUUCAGCUCACUUUGCCAGUAGUUUUUUCAAUGGUGCACCUAUAGUAGGUAUGCUUUUUGAGAAGAUAGAAUAAGACACUGAUGCACAUGAUAAGAACGUUGAGGGAUAAGGAGAAGAAAAAGGAAUAGAAUGGUAAAACUAAUGCAUAGUAUAGGGAGGAUCGUGUAAUGUACAUAUAUGCUAUCAUACAUUUAAAACCACACAUUCAAUUUGUUGACUCUAUAUUUGAAGAGAUUAUUAUGCAAUGGCUUAAAUUUUGAA